GACGAACGCUGGCGGCGUGCUUAACACAUGCAAGUCGAGCGGAGCGGCGAACGGGAGAGUAACGCGCGAGCAACUGCCCCCCUCUCUGGGAUCACAGCUGGAAACGGCUGCGAAUAUCGGACAGUGGGGGAUGAUUCGCGUCCAACUCGCUUGUUGGUGGGGUAGUGGCUUACCAAGGGGACGACGGGUAGCCGGCCUGAGAGGGCGACCGGCCACAUUGGGCUGAGAGACGGCCCGAGCUCCUACGGGAGGCAGCGGUGGGGAAUAUUGCACAAGGGGGGAAACCCAGAUGCAGCAACGCCGCGUGCGGGAUGACGGCCUUCGGGUUGUAAACCGCUUUCAGCCAUGACGCGGUAGUGGCAGAAGAAGCACCGGCUAACUACGUGCCAGCAGCCGCGGUAAUUC
rnacentral:rRNA from 1 species